CUUGCAUAAUUUUUUAUUAAAACAUCAUAUUUAUAUGUAAAUUUUUGUAUUGUAUAUUCUUUUAAAGGAAUUAUAUAAAUUUAGCAGUAGAUAAUAUUAAAAAUUGAAGUAAUUUAGAUUUAGUGAAUGUUAAAAGGAUUGGAUAAAUUUGUGCCAGCAUCCGCGGUUAUACAUAAAAUUCAAAUAAAAAUUAUUGGUUUUGAAGUAAUUACUAUAUAAAUAUUUAUAGAAUUGGGAUUUAAAUAGUAAAAUGUUUAAGAAUCUUUAAUAUAUAAUUUUUAAGUAGAAUAUUGUGAAAUUGAAAAUAUAAACUAGGAUUAGAUACCCUAUUAUUUUUAGUGUAAAUUUCUAAAAGCUUGAGUAUUUAUAGUUAUGGUCUUAAAACUUAAAGAAUUUGGCGGUAUUAUAGGUCUAUUUAGAGGAAUCUGUUAAGUAAUCGAUAAUCCACGUUGAACCUUACUUAUAUUAUUUCUUGUAUACCACUGUUAAGAAUAUAUUAUAAAAUAAUAUUCAUAAUAAAUAAAUAUUUAUAAUUUCAAGUCAAGGUGCAGUAAUAUAUAAGAUAAUUAAUGGAUUACAAAAAAAUGUAUUUAUAACGAAUAAAAAUUGAAAAAUAAAUUUGAAGGUGGAUUUAAUUGUAAAUUUUAAAAGAUUAUAUAAUUGAUUUUAGCUCUAUAGUAUGUACACAUCGCCCGAUCACUCUCAUUAUAAGAUGAGAUAAGUCGUAACAAAGUAGGUGUAUCGGAAGAUGUACCUAGAAAAUAUAAAUAUAGAUGGUAUU
rnacentral:rRNA from 1 species